UACGGGGGGAGCAAGCGUUGUUCGGAUUUACUGGGCGUAAAGGGCGCGUAGGCGGUCAGCACAAGUCAGUUGUGAAAUCUCCGGGCUUAACUCGGAAAGGUCAACUGAUACUGUGCGACUAGAGUGCGGAAGGGGCAACUGGAAUUCUCGGUGUAGCGGUGAAAUGCGUAGAUAUCGGGAGGAACACCAGUGGCGAAGGCGACUACCUGGCCUGUUCUUGACGCUGAGGCGCGAAAGCUAGGGGAGCAAACGGGG
rnacentral:rRNA from 1 species